GACGAACGCUGGCGGCGUGCUUAACACAUGCAAGUCGAACGGAAAGGCCCUGCUUUUGUGGGGUGCUCGAGUGGCGAACGGGUGAGUAACACGUGAGUAACCUGCACUUGACUUUGGGAUAACUUCAGGAAACUGGGGCUAAUACCGGAUAGGAGCUCCUGCUGCAUGGUGGGGGUUGGAAAGUUUCGGCGGUUGGGGAUGGACUCGCGGCUUAUCAGCUUGUUGGUGGGGUAGUGGCUUACCAAGGCUUUGACGGGUAGCCGGCCUGAGAGGGGGACCGGCCACAUUGGGACUGAGAUACGGCCCAGACUCCUACGGUACGCAGCAGUGGGGAAUAUUGCACAAUGGGCGGAAGCCUGAUGCAGCAACGCCGCGUGCGGGAUGACGGCCUUCGGGUUGUAAACCGCUUUCGCCUGAGACGAAGCGUGAGUGACGGUAAUGGGUAAAGAAGCACCGGCUAACUACGUG
rnacentral:rRNA from 1 species